rnacentral:tRNA from 1 species
AGCGGCGUGGUGAAAACGGUAUCACUCUGCACUGUUAAUGCAGGAUUCCUGGUUCGAGUCCAGGCACCGCUG